CUAACUAAUGUACACGCGUUUAUCAAACUUAUACAGAUUUAUAUUAUUCAUCGCAUGGCGCAGCGUGGCAAACUAAACUUUGUUGCCGUAAUCGCGUCUGACGCGACUCGACGAACACGAAAUUCAUUUGUGACGGUUUGCAAUCUCGUGUUGAACAUCUAAACCCUAGCCACUUUAAUUACACGCCGAGUAAAAAGUUGUAUUGAAAUGCCGUGCAUAAAAGCACUCUGAUGAUUUUAUAAUGCGUCUUGAAUUUUAUAAGGCGUAAAAUUGAAUUUUCUUGUUGCGCACGCCGCUCAAUUGCGAAAGAUUAAUUAAUUCGUAAUUAAUCGAGGUGCCCUGACGCAAAGAAGAUGAUGAUGAUGCAGUAAAAGCUCUGUUUAUGCAUAAUAAAUACAAAACAAAGCAACCCAAAAGUAAAACGAACAAAAAUCGCGAAUCGUGAAAGGAUUAAAUAAGCGGAAAAUCGUUGGUGAACUUCCAUUUCACAAACGCGUCUAUAAUUUAUCAACAGCUAGUUAUGGAUUAUUCGUGAAUAAGGCAUGAGGACAAACAAAUGAAUCGGAGUGCUCGUUCUUGUCGACGCCCGCUGGCGAAUGAAUGGGAAUGAACGUGGGAAACGCCCGGAUUUCCCGCAUCACGGGACGCAACCUGUGAAGCAAAGCGUUUCCUUUUCAAUAGACGCGCGUAUUAAAACUGCGCGCGGUAGGUAUACUUUUAUCAAUUUAAGUUUAAGAGAUGAGUAAGUUUGCGCAUCCAAAAAUUAAUCGCGGAGAAUCGAGAAUAAAUGAUCUUUGAUUAGGGUCACAUUAACGACGCGUCGAAAAUCCAUUUCAACCACAGCGCAGUCAAACGAUUAGCAAACGAGUUGGCUGGUUUGUGUGAUUUAAGCUUGUGAAUCCGGAUGGUGAAAUUCCGUUAUCAAUCGUUCCGACCCGACGAAAACAAACGAUUAGAGCGCAUCUGAUUACAUUCAGCGUUUGUUUGGCGCGGCGCAGAAAUGGAUCGCAAAUCAAAGCGAGCGAAUUGAACAAUCGCGAGCGAAUUAGUCGGUGCUGAGGGGGAGAGCGCGCGCGAGAGUUCUGAAUUCAUCAAAACUGGAAAGUCAUACAUGAUAGAUAGCGUCGUGGCGGCGGCUCAACAUCGCGCGGCGGCGGCAUACGCUUGAUGCUUUCUUCAAUACAAGCGCGCCGCGUGUAGUUGAAUCUGAACUCGGCGUACAAAAGGCGCUUCCGCAGUUCAAAGCAAACGCGAUGCGAUAACGAGUGUGCGAACGAGCGGCGGCGGCGGCAGCCAAAUUACUCGCCUUUAUAAUCGUCGUGCGUCGCGUUAGCUGCGCCAUAAUUCUAUUGUUCGCCUUCUCGCAAUCUUCGUGCGAGACGCGAAUAUUUCAGCCGCUUUUCCACGAAGACCGUUCAAAUUCGCAUGUGUCGCAUGGUCUUGGCUUCAUUAGCCGAUUGUGCAAAGAUUGACGCAUACGUUUACCGCCGUUUACGACCAUUGUGUGAAUAAAUGACGUAAAUUAUAAA